rnacentral:rRNA from 1 species
AUACGGAGGGUGCAAGCGUUGUUCGGAAUUACUGGGCGUAAAGGGCGCGCAGGCGGCCUGCCAAGUCAGAUGUGAAAUGCCAUGGCUUAACCAUGGACGUGCAUUUGAAACUGGUGGGCUUGAGUACCAGAGGGGAAGGUGGAAUUCCCGGUGUAGAGGUGAAAUUCGUAGAUAUCGGGAGGAAUACCGGUGGCGAAGGCGACUUUCUGGCUGGAUACUGACGCUGAGGCGCGAAAGCGUGGGGAGCAAACAGGAUUAGAUACCCUGGUAGUCCACGCUGUAAACGAUGUGAACUAGAUGUAGGGGGUGUUGAUCCCCUCUGUGUCGGAGCUAACGCAUUAAGUUCACCGCCUGGGGAGUACGGUCGCAAGAUUAAAACUCAAAUGAAUUGACGGGG